rnacentral:misc_RNA from 1 species
GGAGGUAAAAGUCGUAACAAGGUUUCCGUAGGUGAACCUGCGGAAGGAUCAUUAUUGGAUUUUGAAACUUCAGGCUGCUGCUGGCUCUCCUCGGAGGGCAUGUGCACACUUGUUGUCCAUUAUUUCUCCCACUGUGCAUAAAUUGUAGACCUUUCAGUAGGCCUAUGUUGUUUUUCACAAUCUCUGAAUGUAAUAGAAUGGUUUUGAAUCUUGGGAAAUACAAUACAACUUUCAGCAACGGAUCUCUUGGCUCUC